UUGCAGAAGACGAGUAAAAUAUUUAUGUUUUUACUGGAUAAAAAGAGUGAGAAGAAAGCAAAAAUAAGUUGGCCAAUGCACCCAUCAUAAAUUUCUGUAACAAAUAGCCAAACCCAGAAUGCAGAAGGAGAUGAACAUUUCACUUUAGGGAGAUCUCGUUGGAACUUUCUUCUCAGAGUACACUAUAGACACUGCCAUGCACAGUUAGUCCUACUAUACACAAUGAAAAUGAGAAGAAAAAUAAAUUUGAUCAUCAUAGUUCAGCUGGAUUAAUAAAUUAGAUCAUCAUAGUUCAGCGGGAUUCUAUGGUUCUGAGCUUGACUCCAACAACGCUUCUUUUGCUGGUAAACUCUGGCUGGCAAAAGGAGGUGGUGGAGGAUCAACUGUCAAUGUGCCUUCCAGUAACUUCACUACCUCACCCAUUGAAGGUCUCAUUCGUUCAUCACUUUGAAGGCACCAAAAUGCAGUUCUCAACAUUCGCUCCAGCUCCUCUCUAUCAACCCCACCAUCGAUUCUGUUAUCCACAACCCUCUCUGGGCGACCCUGGAUCCAUUCCUUGUAUGCCAACUCACAAACCUCCCCGACCUGAAGACAACCGGUUACCAAUAUCAACAACAUUUUGCCAACAUCCUCCACAUCUUUCUCUCGAACACAUGAUGCCUCAGGGUGAACUAUCCCCAACCCAAAUUCACUCACCUUGGCCUCAUAAUUUUUAUCCAAGACUACAUUUUCACACUUCAAGGUUCCAUGGCUUACAAACUCCCUACAUCCUGUGUGUAAAUAACAAAUAGCUCUUGCCACACCCAAGCAUAUGUUAAGCCUCCUUCUCCAAGUUAAUCUCUUACUCAAUUCAUCAUCUUCCAUAUAAUUAUGCACAGAACCAUUUUUGACAUACUCAUAAACCAAAAUUUUUUUACCUAACUCACAACAAUAGCCAUUAAGCUUCACCAAGUUUCUGUGAUGUAUGCUUCCUAUUUUUGAAACAGCAGCUCGAAACUUCCUUUCUUCUAUGGUUGUUUCUAAUUCCUUAAUUGCUACUGGCUGGUGGUUCGGAAGAACACCUCUAUAAGUCUUUGGCCCAAUUUGAUGCUUGAAAUUUCCAGUGAUUUCCUUGAUCUCAGUAAAGGAUAACAUCAUCAAACCCUUUGAAUUACUGGUCAUGCAGGCCAAGGCAGCUUUCUUCCAAAUCAUAUUUCUUCUUCUAUAGAUGUAGCAGCCAAUAGCUAAGUGAAUUACGGCAAAUAAAACAAAUGUACCUGAGGCAGCUCCAACUAGACAAGGAAUGCACAACCUAUGAGAGUGCUUGGCUGGAGAUUGUGCUGAAGAAGAUCUUGAAGCAUGGGGAUCAACAGGUAACGGGUCUGAACAUGUCUUGAUAAAAGAUACAGAACUUAAAGAGGGGCCUGAAUAGCCAGAGAAGUAAGGAGUUGUUUUCACUAGGCAUUUAGCAGUUCCAUCAUUUGUGAACGUUGCAGCUGUACAAAAUGAGUUCCUCAGGCAAAAGGCUUCGCAUUGCCGUAAACUAGUUAGGAUAAUUGAGUCAGUUGGUGGAUAAAUCUCAUAAAGAGAGGUGUGCUCAUAUGUAACCAUACUGGAAGCAGAUUUACAAUCCUGUGCAAAACAUUUUGAGUUAGGAUCAGAUGUUAUCUUAAAUGGGCAACGGCAUUCAGGGGAGCCUGAUGAAUUGAAAACACAGACACCAUGCUCGCCACAUGUUGCAAAGACAUUGCACUGAUUCUCAACAGCUUGCCAGACUGAUCUCCAUGACUUUGAAACAGCUUCCCAUGAGUACAUCCGCAGAUUCCCAUCAACAUCUAGCCUUAGCAAUCGAAAAUUUACCGCGUCAUUGUGAUCAUCUCCAAAGACAGACCACAUAGGCUUCAAAGUUUGGUCCACAAGUUGCAGAAUUCCAUCAGAGGUAAGCACAGCACUGAGGUUGGACAUAGAUGGAUUUCCGCUGGUCCAGUACAUGACAUCACUUUCCCACCUUAGCUGUAACUGGCCUGAAGCAUUCAUAUAAAGACUGUAGUAACUUGACACAGAAUUUUUGCUAGCAGCUCUAAGUGUUUUAUAAAUGGAUAAACUCUGGCCCGGAAGAAUUGUGUCAGAAGGAUUGUCAAAGCUUUGCCAAACAACUGACCCCAUUUCAUCCAGUAGAACAAGAUUGCCAUCAUCACGAAGAAGGGCUGAAACAACAGCUGAUCGGCUCGUCUUACUGGUCCACAUGACUCCCUUCAAGGAAUCAACCAAAACAAGUUCCCCACCUUGAGAAAGCUGGAAAUAGGACUUGUUACCAACAGUAAUUUCAGCUCCAGCAACCCAAACCACAGUUUGUUUACCAACGGGAAUGGAUUUUGAAUUGAAGCGAAUUCCAACACCAUACUGAUUAGGCUGAUCAGAAUGGUUAAAGAACCCAAUAGCAAAAUCACCAAUGGGAGAAACCCAUGAGUUAUUUUCCUCUACAGAAAGUUUUGAACCUAAGGGAAUUUUUGAGAGGACAAGAUGAAAUAGAAAGAACCCAGUGAAGACAGAGAGCAGAAAAGGUGAAAUAUGGAAGGAUUUGUCCUGUUCAAGCAUUGUUGAUAUGCUUAGCUAUGCAACAAAAACAAGAAGCUUACAAAGCCACAACAUAAUCAAGAAAUAUCAAGGCCAUUGAACUUCAAAUUUCACAUUAUGCAGGAAAGACAAGGGGCAAAGCUAGGUGAAUAUCAAGAUAUUCAAAACUGAGAAUAAUGUAAAGAAUGAAAGAAGAAAGACUCAAGAAAAGGAAUAAUUCAAGGCAUCAGUGAUCAUGAAAUUCAAGGCUAAUGAAUCACAUUUCAAUGAUUAUUAGGAAAAAUGCGGUCCAAAUCCAGGAAUUUGAAGGGCUCUAUGAUAAAAUAAAGCAGAAAACAAAGACUAUGAACCAGAUAUAAUUGAAGAGGGAACUAAGUAAUCAGAGUUUGAUACCUGAAAGGGCUAGUGAGGAAGCCAGAAAUUCAAGAAAUCGGCAUAGAGUGCCCCUUCUUGACCACAACCAACACAUCAAAUGUUCCCUAUUGAGCCAGUAAACAAAAUAGGCAUGAGGGCAUCCAAUAUAUUUGACCAGAGAUGGAGUUCUCGCAAGGAAAAUGGAGCUGUGGGGUUUUGGAUUUGAGACUUUGGAGGCAACGCAGCAUGAAAAGGAAGUUGUUUCUGCUGUCAGGGAAGAGAAGACUGAAGAAGCUUAUCCCUAUGGAUACAGUCAGUGUCAGUGACUCAGUGUGAAAGAGAAGACUAUUA
rnacentral:misc_RNA from 1 species